rnacentral:rRNA from 1 species
CCCUUAGAUGUUCUGGGCCGCACGCGCGCUACACUGACGAAGUCAGCGAGCAUGUCCUACGCCGACAGGUGCGGGGAAUCUUGUCAAACUUCGUCGUGAUGGGGAUUGAUUAUUGAAAUUCUUGAUCAUCAACGAGGAAUUCCCAGUAAGCGCAAGUCAGCAGCUUGCGUUGAUUACGUCCCUGCCCUUUGUACACACCGCCCGUCGCUACUACCGAUUGAAUGGUUUAGUGAGAUCUUCGGAUUGGCGCCACUGCGGCUCAGCAAUGGGCUCGGUGGAUGCCGAAAAGUUGAUCAAACUUGAUCAUUUAGAGGAAGUAAAAGUCGUAACA